CACAGACACACUCUCUCUCUCUCUCUAUAUAUAUAUAUUCAUAGAACUAUGGUACUGAGUUGUUAACAAUAGUGGUAAGUACCAAGCUAAUAUAGCACAGUAAUGUUAAGGCUAUAGCCUACCCAGACCCAGACUAAUUUCCCUGAAGGCAAUACAAGUAUGGUGCCUGCAUGAGGUGACACUCCACAAACCUAGAUAGGUUUGAUAGAUGUCAAAGAUUUGAAGGAGGUUGAUCAAUUAAACAUGCUCCAAUAUUCAUUCAGCAGUGGGCCAGUCAUUUUUACUGCUUAGACGUAAAGGGUUAUUACUCCAAGUGUCAGAACCACCACAGCCCACUGUAAUGGUUAUGAUGCCAAGGGUAUCCUGGCCCAGUUCCCCGCCAAUGAGGCAAACUGUAAAGUAACGGUUUGCCCUCUUACCUGGGUCCCUGCUGGUCUGAUAUUGUGCUUCAAGCUAGUUCACAUAAUUGGCACUAGCCUGUCCAGACUGGUUAAAAACACCCCAUGAUGCGGUCAGAGGGGGAGUUAAACUCAGCAUGUGCAGCGUUUCACAGCAUUUUCACAAUGCUAGACAUGUAGACUGCAGGCACCAUGACCACUUCAAAUCACUGAAGAGGUUAAGGUGCUUGGAGUAACCCUUUAAUGAUGAAUUUCACAAUAUUCUUCUGCAGCAGUCACCCAGAAAAUUUCACCAGUAGUAAUAAAAAAAUUAAAAAAAAGGAAAUAAAAUAGUCACUUGUUGCAAAAUAUCUGCAAUUUCUUCAGGAGCCAGGAGGUAGCUGAAAAUUCUCAGGCAAUCCUGGUCCUUCAACUAUCUCACAGGUUUAUUCACUAAAGUGUGAAUUGCUUGGAAUUUAAAUGGAAUAUCAUGCUGGAAAAAAAAGUAAUUACUAUACAGACCAGGCAUAGGCC